ensembl:lncRNA
AUUGACGCCGACGUCUCCCAUUCCCUUUUCAUUUGUAGCGCAACAGCAGAGGACUACCGAAAAAUAUUUCGGACUAACUUUGAACGAAACCCACUAAAUUAACGUCUUAUGUGGCUACAUUUCUUAAGAAGUGUCGGUUUAAUUUCGACAUCGACGAUUUUGUUAGACUUUUUGUUUUUGGUUCAAGCGAAGUUAUUAGCAGUUGAAAGCAAAGCUCGCGAAUAGCCUAUUCUCGCUAUAGUAAUAGUCUAGCCGAUAUCUAAAUUGAAUAAUCUUAUUUUGUGGUUCAACUAUCAUUUAAAGCUGAUUUCAAGGAGAAUGUGUAUAGAUUUACUUGGAUUUUUUUCGUCCAGGACACGGAGCAGGCAUGGAAUUCUUAUUGCUGCAUGCGCUAGUCUGGAAAAUGAAAGUUCCCGCCUCCGUAUGCAGAGCGUGUGUCAUUGCUGUGACUGGAUCCGACACCACUACGGUCACUUGAGCGCAGAAUACCUUUCCCUGCUGGAUCAGAUGUUGUCUUGGAAGCACCAUAAAUCACCAUAAAUCCAGAGAAUGCCAGACUUUGAUGCCAAAGUUUGAUGACAAGAUGUGCCCAAAAGAUGGACUGCAGCGCCUCCUUCCUGUUCACGUUAGCAUAGCACAACAAGUGACAUCUUGCCUGAUAAAUACCUAGAUGGUCUUUUUCGGGAGCAGUGCUUGCAAGAGAACGUGUACAUCAACAUUCAACAUUAAUUUGUUAUUUGAAGACACUCAUUAUCAACAGUUGAAUGCAGAUGAUAACUCUACCAUCGGAAACGUUUUCAUGGAGACACUACGUCGUUCUACAAAACGCUACUUGAGCAAAAUGAAGCAACUUCUAUAGAAAAAUGUUAAAAUAACACAGAAGCCUACAUUGAAUGGUUGUAUUUGAAUCACUUUUUCGUUGUUACAUUUACUCAAUCCAAAUUACUGUGGGGUUUCAUGGUUUCAGGACAACAGUACCUGGGAGGUUGUUCGAAAUGAAAUCGUGUGGAUAUUCAAGAACUUACAGAUUCUACUCGAGUCUAUGCACCAGAAAUGAGCAGAUGUAAUAUAUUUAUGUCAUGCCAUGACUGUAGGCUGCCGAAAUAAACCUGUUGAACCAUUUAACAUAAUUUGUAAUUAACUGACUGCACAAAUACAGUGAAAUUCAUCUCAAGUUUUAAAAUAAUCAUGAAUUAGUUGAUUGGCCAACAAUCUUGAACAAUCAAUGCCAUGAUCAGAUAGUUCAUUGUUACAUGGUAACCUAAUAUAAAGGCUUAACAUAAAAUCUGCAUAAUCAGAAACCUACACCUCCAAUUACACCUCGUUUAUUCAGAUUAAGAUAGCUGACGUUGCCACCGAUGUCUGUUCCUUUCUGUAUGUUUUCAGACAUCUAAAUUCCUGUAGAUUGUGAAAACAGUAUGUCACACACUGCGGUCGCACCUAAACGACUCUUAUCUGUACACACAGACUUAUGACUAAGUCACUUAAGAUUAGCCUGUAUCAGCAAAGUACUAACAUAUAACAAUGGACAAUUCUCUAAGUAAAAACAGCAUAGUAAGUCUAAUUAAACAGCACAGUAAAACCAUGAAUUUUACAUUUCCACCACAUAAUGACGCAGUAUAACAGUGGCGUACAGAACGGCAUUUCAUAAAUAACAAUUUGUGGCUCCUUGUCAUGGAUGGGCUAUUGCAACAGACGACCAAAAUGGGUUCUACUCCUACCAGUUAAAAGCAUGAAGUGGCUCUAGUGGGAAGGCAAUCACGAAAACUGGACAAUUGAGAAGUGGAAAAUGGUUGCUUUGUCCGAUGAAUCCCGGUUCUUUUUGCAUCAUGCUGAUGGCAGUCAGGAUUGGUGUACCUAAUUAACUGACCGCUGAGUGUAUUUUACAUGUUGAUUACUGUGAGGGUGGGGGCAUCUCUAAAUAUAAUGUCCA